CCAGUGCGGUAUCCUGACCGUUCUAAGGUAGCAUAAUAAAUCGCCCUUUAAUUGUGGGCUUGUAUGAACGGACAAACGAAGGCUUGACUGUCUCUAUUAUAAAAAUAAAAAUUGGCCUUUAGGUGAAAAGACCUAAAUUAAAUUAGAGGACAAAAAGACCCCGUAGAGCUUAGGACUUUUUUAAACCCUAUUUUUGCGAGAUACUCAAAAAACUAUUUUAACAAGAAGUUCUUGGCUGGGGCGGCUAUGGAGCAAAUAUCCUCCACAAACAGUAAAAGAUUCAACAAGUCUUAUUUUAUGAUCCUAAAUUAGAUCAAAGAAAACAGCUACCUCGGGGAUAACAGAUUAAUCCCUUUUGAGAGUCCACAUUGACAAAGGGCUUUGGCACCU
rnacentral:rRNA from 1 species